AAGCGAGCCUGCGAGGGGGAGCGAAUCCCAAAAAUAACGUCCCAGUUCGGAUUGUAGUCUGCAACCCGACUACAUGAAGCUGGAAUCGCUAGUAAUCGCGGAUCAGAAUGCCGCGGUGAAUACGUUCCCGGGUCUUGUACACACCGCCCGUCACACCAUGGGAGCCGGAAAUGCCCGAAGUCAGUGGCCCAACCGCAGGGAGGGAGCUGCCGAAGGUGGAGCUGGUGACUGGGGUGAAGUCGUAACAAGGUAUC
rnacentral:rRNA from 1 species